UAGCAAGUACGCUCUAUCGCUGCCCGCAAGGGGAGAGGAAAGUCCGAGCAACACAGAGCGCCGUACGAGUUAACGGCUCGACACUUGUGAGGGUGUAGUAGUGUAACAGAAAAUAACCGCCCGCUGCGAGGUGGGUAAGGGUGAAAAGGUGGGGUAAGAGCCCACCGCAGCGGCAGUAAUGUCGCCUGGCAGUACGCCUUACGGGUUGCAAGACCAUGUAUACCGACAAUUAAGGGUUGC
rnacentral:RNase_P_RNA from 1 species